rnacentral:rRNA from 1 species
UGCGGUAACUUUACUGACAGUGUUACACCCGUUCCCAUACCGAAUACGGAAGUUAAGCCUGUCAAGGUCGAUGGUACUUUAGUCGCAAGGCUAUGGGAGAGUAGAACGUUACCGCUU